GAAAUGCGAUAAGUAAUGUGAAUUGCAGAAUUCAGUGAAUCAUCGAAUCUUUGAACGCACAUUGCGCCCGUCAGCAUUCUGGCGGGCAUGCCUGUUCGAGCGUCAUUUCAACCCUCAGGACCCCCCUUUCGCGGGGAGGGACCUGGCGUUGGGGAUCGGCCCGCCCCCCGCGGCGGCGCCGUCCCCGAAAUCUAGUGGCGGUCUCGCUGCAGCCUCCCCUGCGUAGUAGUUACAACCUCGCAUCGGAGCGCGGCGCGGCCACGCCGUAAAACCCCCGACUUUCUGAACGUUGGCCUCGGAUCAGGUAGGAAUACCCGCUGAACUUAAGC
rnacentral:misc_RNA from 1 species